rnacentral:rRNA from 1 species
GACGAAGCGUGCGAACGUUGUUCGGAAUCACUGGGCUUAAAGGGCGCGUAGGCGGGCUGAUAAGUCUGGGGUGAAAUGCCGCGGCUCAACCGUGGAACUGCCUUAGAUACUGUCGGCCUCGAGGAAGGUAGGGGCAUGCGGAACUGUAGGUGGAGCGGUGAAAUGCGUUGAUAUCUACAGGAACUCCGGUGGCGAAAGCGGCGUGCUGGACCUUUUCUGACGCUGAGGCGCGAAAGCUAGGGGAGCAAACGGG